rnacentral:rRNA from 1 species
CAAUAGCGUAUAUUUAAGUUGCUGCAGUUAAAAAGCUCGUAGUUGGAUUUCGGGUGGGAAUGGCCGGUCCGCCGUUUCGGUGUGCACUUGCUACGCCCACCUUGCUGCCGGGGACGUGCUCUUGAGUUCACGCUCGGGACACGGAGUCGGCGAGGUUACUCUGAGUAAAUUAGAGUGUUCAAAGCAGGCCUACGCUCUGAAUACAUUAGCAUGGAAUAACACGAUAGGACUCUGGCCUAUCUUGUUGGUCUGUAGGACCGGAGUAAUGAUUAAGAGGGACAGUCGGGGGCAUUCGUAUUUCAUUGUCAGGGGUGAAAUUCUUGGAUUUAUGAAAGACGAACUACUGCGAAAGCAUUUGCCAAGGAUGUUUUCAUUAA